rnacentral:rRNA from 1 species
UACGUAGGGACCAAGCGUUGUUCGGAUUUACUGGGCGUAAAGGGCGCGUAGGCGGCGCGGUAAGUCACUUGUGAAAUCUCUGAGCUUAACUCAGAACGGCCAAGUGAUACUGCAGUGCUAGAGUGUGGAAGGGGCAAUCGGAAUUCUUGGUGUAGAGGUGAAAUUCGUAGAUAUUCGCAAGAACACCAGUGGCGAAGGCGGCUCACUGGCCCGAUACUGACGCUGAGGUGCGAAAGCGUGGGGAGCAAACAGG